GGGCGACUAGCUCAAAUGGUAGAGCGCCUGCUUUGCAUGCAGGAGGUAGUGGGAUCGAUACCCACGUUGUCCA